GGAUGCUGAUGUAGACAAGGCUGUGGAGAUGGCACACUUUGCUCUCUUCUUCAACCAGGGACAAUGUUGCUGUGCUGGUUCUCGUACUUUCGUUCAUGAAAAAGUAUUCGACGAGUUUCUAGAAAAAGCAAGAAAACGAGCUGCGAACCGCGUUGUUGGUGAUCCUUUCCUAGGUGGAAUUGAGCAAGGUCCUCAGGUCGAUGAAGAACAAUUCAAAAAGAUAUUGAAAUAUAUAAAACUUGGGAUUGAAGGAGGAGCCACUCUUGAAGCAGGAGGAGAAAGGUUUG
rnacentral:misc_RNA from 1 species